GGUUCGCAAAAGAAAGUGGCCAAACACAGAGCAGCUAAAGAGCUCUAUGCGUUACUACAGGACAGGAUCGACCGGCAAACGGCUUCCGAGGUCACCAAAAACAAACCUUUCCAAGAGCAAAUCGACGACAACACACCCAAGUGUAGCAGCCCCUUCCAUGAGUCCUCGGCACUUGAUACUACACAAAAACAAACUGACCGACGAGCAUCCGAGUGUGAAGGAAGUCAACCCGACCCCGACGACUGCACAGAGACACCUCGGUCACAAGAGCACUACCCUCAACAGUCUGAGAAUCACAUUGGACAACUGCAGGAAAUCUGCCAGCAGAACAAGUGGCCAUUGCCCAAAUACAACUUUGGCAUUACAGAGGGCCUCGGUCGGUACGCAUGUCAAUGUGAACUUACUAUACCCCUGGGCAUCCACGCCGAUGACGCUGACUUUGCAGUAGAUGUCAAGACUGAUCGCGUUCGUACACAACUACACGGCACGGCAGACUCUAAAGGAGCGGCUAAACAAGCUUCGGCUGGAAACACUCUCCUUUGGCUUCGCGGGCACAAGCUCAUCUAACAAUCCAGCCGCAUACACCAUGUCGAAUAACAGCACGGUGUGUACCCAUCACCGGGAUAUGUGGUGUACAUGGUCUAUGAUACUUGUAAUGAUGGUGUCUGUCCUACUUUUUGUGUAUGGUGUGUACUGCAUGUGUACGCUUUGUGUCGAAAGAAAUAGACACAGGCGAAUCAUCAGGUUUCAUAGCACUC